UGCGUCAUCGUGGAAGAACAAAGAACGUCUUACUUUCUAAAUAAUCCUCAAGAUACAGCAUUUUGUUCCAAAAAUGAUCCGAAGACCUUUGACGGAAAUAACUUUAAAAUUGGAUGAUUUGCAAGAAUACGAAGCUUUUCGAAGAGAACAAGGAAAUAAUUCCUCCACAGCUUCCGAAAUGCAGGAAGAUACCCCAAAACCCUUAGACACUCUCAAGACGAUCGAAGAAAUACACAAAAGAAUUGGAUAUGCUCCAAAGAAAAAACUCAGCGGCCCAAGCACCGUUUGAUUGAUAUGUAUUUAGAAACAUUGAAACAACUAUUGGUAAAUUCAUUUUUUAUUUGCACAUGAUAUUUAAAAAUAAGAUUCUCAAAUUUUGCUACGACGACAUCAUGACCUUAGCAACUAUGCAACAGUUAAUAUUAAAAAUCUGUGAGUUAGAGAGCAAAGUUGUACUUAUGUGCGUGAAUUACAAUAAUAAUUGCACUUUUCGUAAGUUUAAGUUAUAAAGCAUAUAUUAAUAAGAAUCGAUAAACACUUUUUCGUAGUUUUCUUUUUUGCCAUUAUUCGCUGUACGGAUGCAUCACUUUAUUGGGGCUCGGGCCGGGAACUGUGUCGUUUUUCGUGAAAUCAAUACGUCGCUUCUUGUUACGCCGACGCCAAAGGACACAGCAUAAUCUGUAAACAGAAGUCUGAGUAAGUAUUUAUGGCCUAGGUUAAAAAGACUGAAGAAGGUUUCACUUCGGAAUUACCAAAAUAUUCAAAAGAGUU